rnacentral:rRNA from 1 species
CUGCCGCCGGCGACCGGCGCACGGGUGAGUAACACGUAUGCAACCUGGCCGUGACAGAUGGAUAACCGGGAGAAAUCCCGCCUAAUACAACAUAAUGCCGGGAGGGGACAUCCCCUGCCGGUCAAAGGGGGCGACCCCGGUCACGGAUGGGCAUGCGGCGCAUUAGGUAGUUGGUGGGGCAACGGCCCACCAAGCCGACGAUGCGUAGGGGUUCUGAGAGGAAGGUCCCCCACAUUGGAACUGAGACACGGUCCAAACUCCUACGGAAGGCAGCAG